rnacentral:lncRNA from 1 species
UUCCUUCAGAGACCGCAGAAGAGGUCUCGUACCCAUAGAAGCGGAACCGCAGAAACGGUUAUGGGUCCGCAAAAGCAGAAUCUUGGAUUUUAGAAAUAGUCCCAAAAGAGACUCAGUUUUUUCAUCAGCGAGACCACAGAAGCGGUCCCUUGUCCGCAGAAACGGAAACCACUAUUCAUAAAUAGAUAUUUCGAGGGUUAGUUUUCAAAAGUUAGAAAAAUCAAAUUGAGCUCAGGAGAGGGCGAUUUUGAGAAGGUUUUGAAGAGAGAUCAUUGGGUAACAUUUUUUAAUCCUUCUAAGUUAUAUUCCAUCAAUAUAUAGUUAUAUCCAUCUUUUAAAAUUCGAAUUUGAGGAUCAAAUUGGGGAAAAUUGGAAGAAACUUCCUAGACCGGAAUUCUGAGUUUUGAGCGGUUUUUGGUAUCCGAUUUGGGAGAUCUUUAUAUGAUUGGACUCGUGAGAGUAUCAGGAUUAUGGAAAUGUAAAAUUUAUCUGAUUCCAAGAUGUUUUCUUGAGGGGCAUUUUGGUCAUUUUACUUAUUUUCCGUUUUAUCUUUGAAUUAAACAGUGGAAUCAAUUGCUUGAGAUGUUAUUUACGAUAUGUAAUUGAAUUAAAUAGAGUUGGUCCAUUUGGAGUCAGAUACUCAUGGAAAAUGUGUGAUUUCAAGUUGAAUUUGGAGUCGGUUUGAGGUAAGUGACUUGUCUAACCUUGUGUAGGGGACCUUUCCCCUUAGGAUAUGUUAACUUGUAAUUGAUUAUCUUGUACGCAAGGUGAAGAGCGCGACUUGAGUUAAUUGUUGAAAAUCCGAUUCUUACUUAAGAUAUUGAGACUGAGUUUCUUUCGUAUUUGCUUUAUUUUACUUGCAAUUAUAAUCCGUGGCACUAGUGUGCCACAUAAGUCAUGGGUGAUCAUUGGUCCGAUGCUUCGGGCGAAACUAAUUCCCAGGGUGUGACGGGCAGUGUUUGAUUAGAAGAACAUGUUUAGUUGAUUUAUUGUGCC